AGCCCAGCCACGCCAUGGGUGCAGGAGUGAAGAGCAAAUGCUAACUGUCCAUGGAAUUGACUUUCAAAGGGGCGUGUCAUGUGCCUCAUCCCAGCAACAGGGAAGGCAUUUCUCUAUCAGUCAGUUGGUAAAUGAUUAUUGACAAACAAUGUGCUGGGAAGGUGGAGUGAUUUGAGUAGAUUUGGCCUCUAUUCUCAUGGAGCUUCCUUUCUAGAGGGGAAGGCAGAUGAUGGAUGGAUAAAUAUAAAUGAUUCUAAUAGGUUGGUGCAGCAGUCAUUAAAAGUGAUGGCAAAAAAAAAAAAAAAAGAAACGGGGAGGAGCCGUUGCUGCAGUUCAUUAAUAGUAAUGGCAAAACCCGCGAUGACUUGUGCGCCAACCUAACCCAGUAACCACGGGUGUGCAAAUGUGGCGAUGGGCAAGUUCCGAGUGCUAGGAGAGCAUCUAGCUUCCCGGAGUCAGGAGACGGGGGUUGGCAACCUAACCAAGGUUAAGUCCAAGUGAGGGGGGUGGGCAGGGAGCGAUAUUUCAGUGGAGACUCCAAGGAUGAAUGGUAUUUAGAGAGUAAACCCCGAUAGAGGGUUUGUGUCUGGCACAGAGAAGAGCCUGUGCAAAAGCUGGUGGGGCGAGAGGACACCGUGUGUUCAUCCACCUGACGGGCGACCAGCAGGCUGGAGCUCAGCGGGUUGAGAGGAGGAUGCAGAACCCGGGAAAGGCACCCUAGGCAGAGGGCACAGAAGCGCAAAGGCCUGGAGUCAGGCCUGAGCCUGUGUGGUUUGAGGAACGGACAGAGGCCUGUCCGUCAGGAAGGGAACGGCACAGGGGAGAGACCUUAGGCCACAGCAGAGGGCAGGGCAGAGGGCAGGGCCGUGCUGGGCAGUGUGGGCUGUGGAUGGUGCUGGCAUUUAAGAGGGGAGACCAUAGACCAGGGCAAAGGGCAGGGCCGUGCUGGGCACUUUGGGCUGUGGAUGGGAGCUGGCAUUUAUGCUCAGGUGAUGGGAAUGUGUUAAAAGAUUUUAAGGAGGGGAGUAACAGUUGGGAUUAAUGUGUAUUCUGGGAAUCUCAACAAAGUAAAUUCAUAGUUUGAAUUUUCAUAAGACUUCUGCACAGGCAGAGAGAAAUAAGAUCGUGUCUACAGCUGUGUGAUGAUUUUAUUGAAAAACAUUACUAAGUUUUUAAACGUGAUUUCAAAUGGUGUGUUUCUGUUUCACCUUGGACAUAAGUAGAUUGCAAGGCUAAUGGAAAGUAGAAAAGUUAACUCAUGAACAUAAAAGAGAUAUCAAUUUGAAAACAAAACAUUUAUUCAUUUACUUCCGCUGCAGAUUUCUUGACUGCUGAAUUUCAUGAGAAGGGAUUGUUCAGGGAGGGACGUGGGGCUGAAGACCUGGAGAGGAGGUGGUGCUACCGCUGUUCAAAUCUGAGGGUGGUGGAGAUGGAGCCUUGGGGAGGAGCAGGUGCUGCCUUUUAAGUCUAUGAGAGUCGUUGAGCUGGAGGUCCAGGGAGGAGCCGGUGCUCCCACUGAUGUCUUAGGUUGUGGAGCUGAAGACAACGAAGGAGCCAGUGUGGCUGUUCUGUGAGACUCGUGGAGCUGGAGAUCCAGGUGGGAGAGGUGUUUUAGCUCGGGGAAGAGCUGAUGUUCUACCUUGAGGGUCCUGCAGCUGCAGACCUGGGGAGGAGCUAAUGUUCUAGUUUGAGUGUCAUGCAGCUGCAGACCCGGGGAGGAGCUGAUGUUCUAGUUUGAGUGUCAUGCAGCUGCAGACCUGGAGAGGAGCUGAUGUUCUAGAUUGAGGGUCGUGCAGCUGCAGACCCGGGGAGGAGCUGAUGUUCUAGAUUGAGGGUCGUGCAGCUGCAGACCUGGAGAGGAGCUGAUGUUCUAGAUUGAGGGUCGUGCAGCUGCAGACCCGGGGAGGAGCUGAUGUUCUAGAUUGAGGGUCGUGCAGCUGCAGACCUGGAGAGGAGCUGAUGUUCUAGUUUGAGGGUCAUGCAGCUGAAGACCCGGGGAGGAGCUGAUGUUCUAGUUUGAGGGUCAUGCAGCUGCAGACCCGGAGAGGAGCUGAUGUUCUAGAUUGAGGGUCGUGCAGCUGCAGACCUGGAGAGGAGCUGAUGUUCUAGAUUGAGGGUCGUGCACCUGCAGACCCGGAGAGGAGCUGAUGUUCUAGAUUGAGUGUCGUGCACCUGCAAACCCGGGGAGGAGCUGAUGUUCUCAUUUGAGGGUCGUGCAGAUGCAGACCCGGAGAGGAGCUGAUGUUCUAGAUUGAGGGUCGUGCAGCUGCAGACCUGGAGAGGAGCUGAUGUUCUAGUUUGAGGGUCAUGCAGCUGAAGACCCGGGGAGGAGCUGAUGUUCUAGUUUGAGGGUCAUGCAGCUGCAGACCCGGAGAGGAGCUGAUGUUCUAGAUUGAGGGUCGUGCAGCUGCAGACCUGGAGAGGAGCUGAUGUUCUAGAUUGAGGGUCAUGCAGCUGAAGACCCGGGGAGGAGCUGAUGUUCUAGUUUGAGGGUCAUGCAGCUGCAGACCCGGAGAGGAGCUGAUGUUCUAGAUUGAGGGUCGUGCAGCUGCAGACCUGGAGAGGAGCUGAUGUUCUAGAUUGAGGGUCAUGCAGCUGAAGACCCGGGGAGGAGCUGAUGUUCUAGUUUGAGGGUCAUGCAGCUGCAGACCCGGAGAGGAGCUGAUGUUCUAGAUUGAGGGUCGUGCAGCUGCAGACCUGGAGAGGAGCUGAUGUUCUAGUUUGAGGGUCAUGCAGCUGAAGACCCGGGGAGGAGCUGAUGUUCUAGAUUGAGGGUCGUGCAGCUGCAGACCUGGAGAGGAGCUGAUGUUCUAGUUUGAGGGUCGUGCAGCUGAAGACCCGGGGAGGAGCUGAUGUUCUAGAUUGAGGGUCGUGCAGCUGCAGACCUGGAGAGGAGCUGAUGUUCUAGUUUGAGGGUCAUGCAGCUGAAGACCCGGGGAGGAGCUGAUGUUCUAGAUUGAGGGUCGUGCAGCUGCAGACCCGGAGAGGAGCUGAUGUUCUAGAUUGAGGGUCGUGCAGCUGCAGACCCGGAGAGGAGCUGAUGUUCUAGAUUGAGGGUCUUGCAGCUGCAGACCUGGAGAGGAGCUGAUGUUCUAGAUUGAGGGUCGUGCAGCUGCAGACCCGGGGAGGAGCUGAUGUUCUAGUUUGAGGGUCUUGCAGCUGAAGACUUGGGGAGGAGCUGAUGUUGUUGCAUUGAGGGUCUUUCAGUUGGAGACUCAGGGAGGAGCUGAUGUUCUAGAAUUAGGGUGAUAGAACUGGAGACCUGGAGAGAAGGUAAUGUUCUAGUUUUAGGGUCUUGCAGCUGCAGACCCGGGGAGGAGCUGAUGUUCUAGUUUGAGGGUCUUGCAGCUGAAGACUUGGGGAGGAGCUGAUGUUGUUGCGUUGAGGGUCUUUCAGUUGGAGACUCAGGGAGGAGCUGAUGUUCUAGAAUUAGGGUGAUAGAACUGGAGACAUGGAGAGAAGGUAAUGUUCUAGUUUUAGGUUCUUGCAGCUGCAGACCUGGAGAGGAGCUGAUGUUCUAGAUUGAGGGUCUUGCACCUGCAGACCCGGGGAGGAGCUGAUGUUCUAGAUUGAGUGUCAUGCAGCUGCAGACCCGGAGAGGAGCUGAUGUUCUAGUUUGAGGGUCGUGCAGCUGCAGACCUGGAGAGGAGCUGAUAUUCUAGUUUGAGGGUCAUGCAGCUGAAGACCCGGGGAGGAGCUGAUGUUCUAGUUUGAGUGUCAUGCAGCUGCAGACCCGGAGAGGAGCUGAUGUUCUAGAUUGAGGGUCGUGCAGCUGCAGACCUGGAGAGGAGCUGAUGUUCUAGUUUGAGGGUCAUGCAGCUGAAGACCCGGGGAGGAGCUGAUGUUCUAGAUUGAGGGUCGUGCAGCUGCAGACCUGGAGAGGAGCUGAUGUUCUAGUUUGAGGGUCAUGCAGCUGAAGACCCGGGGAGGAGCUGAUGUUCUAGAUUGAGGGUCAUGCAGCUGCAGACCCGGAGAGGAGCUGAUGUUCUAGAUUGAGGGUCAUGCAGCUGCAGACCCGGAGAGGAGCUGAUGUUCUAGAUUGAGGGUCAUGCAGCUGCAGACCCGGAGAGGAGCUGAUGUUCUAGAUUGAGGGUCGUGCAGCUGCAGACCCGGAGAGGAGCUGAUGUUCUAGUUUGAGGGUCAUGCAGCUGAAGACCCGGGGAGGAGCUGAUGUUCUAGAUUGAGGGUCGUGCAGCUGCAGACCUGGAGAGGAGCUGAUAUUCUAGAUUGAGGGUCAUGCAGCUGCAGACCCGGAGAGGAGCUGAUGUUCUAGAUUGAGGGUCUUGCAGCUGCAGACCUGGAGAGGAGCUGAUGUUCUAGAUUGAGGGUCUUGCAGCUGCAGACCCGGGGAGGAGCUGAUGUUCUAGUUUGAGGGUCUUGCAGCUGAAGACUUGGGGAGGAGCUGAUGUUGUUGCAUUGAGGGUCUUUCAGUUGGAGACUCAGGGAGGAGCUGAUGUUCUAGAAUUAGGGUGAUAGAACUGGAGACCUGGAGAGAAGGUAAUGUUCUAGUUUUAGGUUCUUGCAGCUGCAGACCUGGAGAGGAGCUGAUGUUCUAGAUUGAGGGUCUUGCACCUGCAGACCCGGGGAGGAGCUGAUGUUCUAGUUUGAGGGUCUCCCAGCUGCAGACCUGGAGAGGAGCUGAUGUUCUAGUUUGAGUGUCGUGCAGCUGCAGACCCGGGGAGGAGCUGAUGUUCUAGUUUGAGGGUCGUGCAGCUGGAGACCUGGAGAGGAGCUAAUGUUCUAGUUUGAGGUUCUUGCAGCUGCAGACCUGGAGAGGAGCUGAUGUUCUAGAUUGAGGGUCGUGCAGCUUCACACUUGGAGAGGAGCUGAUGUUCUAGUUUGAGGGUCGUGCAGCUGCAGACCUGUAGAGGAGCUGAUGUUCUAGAUUGAGGGUCGUGCAGCUGAAGACUUGGGGAGGAGCUUUAGUUGUUCGCGUUGAGGGUCUUUCAGUUGGAGACUCGGAGGAGCUGAUGUUCUAGAUUUAGGGUCACGGAACUGGAGACCUGGACAGAAGUUGAUGUUCUAGUUUGAGUGUCUAGCAGCUGCAGAUCCGGAGAGGAGCUGAUGUUCUAGUUUGAGGGUCUUGCAACUGCAGACCUGUAGAGGAGCUGAUGUUCUAGAUUGAGGGUCGUGCAGCUGCAGACCUGGGGAGGAGCUGAUGUUCUAGACUGAGGGUCGUGCAGCUGCAGACCUGGAGAGGAGCUGAUGUUCUAGAUUGAGAGUCCUGCAGCUGAAGACUCGGGGUGGAGCUGAUGUUGUAGUUUGAGGGUCAUGCAGUUGAGGACUUCGGGAGGAGCUGAUGUUGUUCGUGUUGAGGGUCUUUCAGCUGGAGACUCAGGGAGGAGCUGACAAUCUUGACUGAGGUUCAUGGAGCUGGAGACUCAGGCAGGAGCUGAUGUUCUAGCUAGUGGAUCUUCCAGCUGCAGACCAAGAGAGGAGCUGAUGUUCUAAUUUUAGGUUCUUGCAGCUGCAGACCUGGAGAGGAGCUGAUGUUCUAGAUAGAGGGUCAUGCAGCUGAAGACUCGGGGAGGAGCUGAUGUUGUAGUUCGAGGGUCAUGCAGUUGAGGACUUUGGGAGGAGCUGAUGUUGUUCGUGUUGAGGGUCUUUCAGCUGGGGACUCAGGGAGGAGCUGAUAAUCUUGAUUAAGGGUCAUGGAGCUGGAGACCCAGACAGGAGCUGAUGUUCUAGUUAGUGGAUCUUCCAGCUGCAGAGUCAGAGAGGAGCUGAUGUUCUAGAUUGAGGGUCAUGCAGCUGAAGACCCGGGGAGGAGCUGAUGUUCUAGAUUGAGGGUCGUGGAGCUGCAGACCUGGAGAGGAGCUGAUGUUCUAGUUUGAGGGUCGUGCAGCUGGAGACCUGGAGAGGAGCUAAUGUUCUAGUUUGAGGUUCUUGCAGCUGCAGACCUGGAGAGGAGCUGAUGUUCUAGAUUGAGGGUCGUGCAGCUGCACACUUGGAGAGGAGCUGAUGUUCUAGAUUGAUGGUCUUGCAGCUGCAGACCUGGAGAGGAGCUGAUGUUCUAGUUUGAGGAUCUUGCAGCUGCAGACCCGGAGAGGAGCUGAUGUUCUACUUUGAGGGUCGUGCAGCUGGAGACCUGGAGAGGAGCUGAUGUUCUAGUUUGAGGGUCAUGCAGAUGAAGACUCGGGGAGGAACUGAUGUUCUAGUUUGAGGGUCUUGCAGCUGCAGACCUGGAGAGGAGCUGAUGUUGUAGUUUGAUGGUCUUGCAGCUGCAAACCUGGAGAGGAGCUGAUGUUCUAGAUUGAGGGUCGUGCAGCUGAAGACUCGGGGAGGAGCUGAUGUUCUAGAUUAAGGGUCAUGCAGCUGAAGACUCAGGGAGGAGCUGAGGUUCUAGUUUGAGGGUCGUGCAGCUGAAGACUCGGGAGGAGCUGAGAUUCUAGUUUGAGGGUCGUGCAGCAGAAGACUCAGGGAGGAGCUGAUGUUCUAGAUUGAGGGCCCUACAGCUGCAGACCUGAAGAGGAGCUGAUGUUCGAGAUUGAGGGUCGUGCAGCUGAAUACUUGGAGAGGAGCUGAUGUUAUAGUUUGAGGGCCCUACAGCUGAAGACCCGGAGAGUAUCUGAUCUUCGAGAUUGAGGGUCGUGCAGCUGAAGACUCCGGGAGGAGCUGAGGUGGUAAUUUGAGGGUCUUGCAGCUGCUGACUUGGGGAGGAGCUGAUGUUCUAGUUUGAGGGCCCUACAGUUGGAAAUCUGUACAGGAGCUGAUGUUCUAGUUUGAGGGUCAUGCAGGCGAAGAAUCGGGGAGGAGCUGAUAUUCUAGUUUGAGGGCCCUGCAGCUAGAGAUGCAGACAGGAGCUGAUGUUGUAGUUUGAGGGUCGUACAGCUGAAGAUUCAGGGAGGAGCUGUUCGUGUAUUUUUAGGGUCAUGCAGCUGCAGACCCGGAGAGGAGCUGAUGUUAAAGAUUGAGGGUCAUGCAGCUGAAGACUCUGGGAGGAGCUGACGUUCUAAUUUGAGGUCACUACAGGUGGACACCGAGAGAGGAGCUUAUGUUCUAGAUUGAGGGUCAUGCAGCAGAAGACUCGGGGAAGAGCUGAGGUUGUAGUUUGAGGGUCAUGCAGCUGGAGAACCAGACAGGAGCUGAUGUUCUAGAUUGAGCGUCGUGCAGCUGAAGACUUGGGGAGGAGCUGAUGUUGUUCGUUUUGAGGGUGUUUCAGCUGGAGACUCAGGGAGGAGCUGACGUUCUAGAUUGAGGGUCUUGCAGCUGCAGACCUGUAGAGGAACUGAUGUUCUAGAUUGAGGGUCACGCAGCUGAAGACUUGGGGAGAAGCUGAUGUUCUAACUUGAGGGUCGUGCAGCUGAGGACUCGGGGAGGAGCUGAUGUUGACAGCUGUGCAGCUGGAGAUCCGGCGGGGAGCUGAUGUUCCGGUUUGAGGGCCGGGGAGCUGAUGUUCCAGUUUGAUGGCCGUGCAGCUGGAGACCCAGGGAGGAACAUCAAACUGGAACAUCUGCUCCCCGCAGUGCCUCCAGCUGCAUGGCUCCCAAACUGGAACAUCGGUUCCCACCCGGGUCUCCAGCUGCACGGCCCUCAAACUGCAACAUCGGCUACCCCCGAGUCUCCAGCUGCACGGGCCUCAAACUGGAACAUCAGCUCCCCACCGGGUCUCCAGCUUCACGGCCCUCAAACUGGAACUUCAGCUCCCCACCGGGUAUCCAGCUGCAUGGCCCUCAAACUGGAAGUUCAGCUCCCCAUCGGGUCUCCAGCUGCACGGCCCUCAGACUGGAACAUCAGCUCCCCACCGGGUCUCCAGCUGCAUGGCCCUCAAACUGGAACAUCAGCUCCCCACCGGGUCUCCAGCUUCACGGCCCUCAAACUGGAACUUCAGCUCCCCACCGGGUCUCCAGCUUCACGGCCCUCAAACUGGAACUUCAGCUCCCCACCGGGUAUCCAGCUGCAUGGCCCUCAAACUGGAAGUUCAGCUCCCCACCGGGUCUCCAGCUGCACGGCCCUCAGACUGGAACAUCAGCUCCCCGCCGGGUCUCCAGCUGCACGACCCUCAAACUGGAAUAGUUUGAACUCAGCGGGGAGCUGAUGUUCCAGUUUGAGGGCCGUGCAGCUGGAGACCCGGCAGGGAGCUGAUGUUCCGGUUGUAGGGCUGUGCAGCCGGAGACCCAGGGGGAAGCUGAUGUUCCAGUUGUAGGGCCGUGCUACUGGAGACCCAGGGGUGGAGCUGAUGUUCCAGUUUGAGGGCCAUGCAGUUGAUGACCCGGCGGGGAGCUGAUGUUCAAGUUUGAGGUCUGUGCAGCUGGAGACCCGCGGGGGAGCUGAUGUUCCAGUUUGAUGGCCAUGCAGCUGGAGGCUCUGAUGGGAGCUGAUGUUGCAAUUUGAGGGCCAUGCAGCUGGAGACCUGGCAGGGAGCUGAUGUUCCAGUUUGAGGGCCGUGCAGCUGGAGACCCGGCAGGGAACUGAUGUUCCAGUUUGAGGGCCAUGCAUCUGGAGACCUGGGCGGGGAGCUGAUGUUCCAGUUUAAGGGCCGUGCAGCUGGAUACCCGGCAGGGAGCUGAUGUUCCAGUUUGAGGGCCGUGCACCUGGAGACCCGGCAGGGAGCUGAUGUUCCAGUUUGAGGGCUGUGCAGCUGGAUACCGGGGGUGGAGCUGAUGUUCCAGUUUGAGGGCCAUGCAUCUGGAGACCCAGUGGGUAGCCAGUGUUGCAGGUUGAGGGCUGUGGAGCUGGAGACCCGGGUUGGGGGGAGCUGAUGUUCCAGGUUGAGGGCCAUGCUGCUGGAGAUCCAGCGGGGAGCUGAUGUUGCAGUUUGAGGCGGUGCAGCUGGACAUGCAGGGGGGAAGUGAUGUUGCAAUUUGAGGGCUGUGCAGCUGGAGACCCUGUGGGGAGCUGAUGUUCCUGUUUGAGGGUUUCGGAGCUGAUGUUCCAGUUUAAGGCCAUGCAGCUGGAGACCCGGUGGGGAGCCGAUGUUCCAGUUUGAGGGCCAUGCAUCUGGAGACCCGGUGGGGAGCUGAUGUUGCAGGUUGAGGGCCGUUCAUCUGGAGACCCAGUGGGGAGCUGAUGUUGCAGGUUGAGGGCUGUGCACCUGGAGCCCCGGGGUGGAGCUGAUAUUCCAGUUUGAGGGCCGUGCAGCUGGCAAUCUGGUGGGGAGCUGAUGUUCCAGUUUGAGGGCCAUGCAGCUGGAGACCCGGCAGGGAGCUCAUGUUCCAGUUUGCAGGCAGUGCAGCUGGAGACCCGGCGGGGAGCUGAUGUUCCAGUUUGAGGUCCGUGCAGCUGGAGAUCUGGUGGGGAGCUGAUGUUCCAGUUUGAGGGCCCUGCAGCUGGAGACCCAUGGGGAUCUGAUGUUCCAGUUUGAGGGUGGUGCUGCUGGCGACCCAGGCGGGAGCUGAUGUUCUAGUUUUAGGGCCCUGCAGCUGGAGACCCGGGGAGGAGCUGACGUUCCCAUUCGAGGGCUGUGCAGGUGGAGACCUGGGGAGGAGCUGAUGUUGUUCUAAUUUGAGUGUGGUGCAGCUGGAGAUCCAGGGAUGAGAUGGCCCUGCAGUUCAAAUAUGAGGGUCCCGGAGCUGGACUCUACGUGAGGAACCAAUGCUGCCUCUGAUGUCUUAGGUUGUGGAGCUGGAAACUCGUGGAGGAGCUGGUAUUGGUGUUUCUAGUUGAGGGUUGUGGUAUUUCCAGGGUUUCACAAAGGCCAGAUUUUAUUUCAGUUACUG
rnacentral:lncRNA from 1 species